rnacentral:tRNA from 1 species
GCUGUAGUAGCUCAGUUGGGAGAGCGUUAGACUGAAGAUCUAAAGGUUCCUGCUUCAAUCCCAGGCUUUGGCA